rnacentral:rRNA from 1 species
UAAGGAAUAUUGGACAAUGGGCGGAAGCCUGAUCCAGCCAUCCCGCGUGCAGGAAGACGGCCCUCUGGGUUGUAAACUGCUUUUGUAUAGGACGAAUGUUAUCCAUUUAUGGGUAUUUGACGGUACUAUAAGAAUAAGCAUCGGCUAACUCCGUGCCAGCAGCCGCGGUAAUACGGAGGAUGCGAGCGUUAUCCGGAAUCACUGGGUUUAAAGGGUGCGUAGGCGGGAAUAUAAGUCAGAGGUGAAAUCUGGUCGCUUAACGAUCAAAUUGCCUUUGAAACUGUAUUUCUUGAAAUAUGAUGAGGUUGGCAGAAUGUGACAUGUAGCGGUGAAAUGCAUAGAUAUGUCAUAGAAUACCAAUUGCGAAGGCAGCUGACUGGUCAUUAUUUGACGCUGAGGCACGAAAGCGUGGGGAGCGAACAGGAUUAGAUACCCCCGUAGUCC